UGGGCAGAGGCCUAUUGGUUUGGGCGUCUAGCUGUUAAUUAGAAUUUUUGUGGGAUCGAAGCCCACCUGCCUAG
rnacentral:tRNA from 1 species